AGCACACACAAAUGGCAAACAGGUUUUACUUGACAGAGGGCUUCACAGUGGGGAGGUUGGAGCUCACUGUUUGAAAGGAAGAAUGGAUGUGGGAGCUAGUGCCCUGGGAAAAGGGACUGUGCCACAUGGCUGGGCAGGGUGGAGGUUGACAUUUGCCUUCUGCAGCCCUGACUUGUUGCAUCAGCACUGAUUCAAGAUGGAAACCACCAAAAGGGUUGGCAACGGCUGUGAAGGUGCACCUGUCCCCAUCCUGACUCCAGAAAUGUCUCAGGAGAACAAGCACUGUGAACUCACGUUGCAUGGAGUUCCCAGGUCAUCCAGACUGCUCCCGUUACCUCUGCUUCUUUCUGCUGUGUGCCCUGCCUUGUCCUCAUGCUGAUUUGUGAGAUGUCUACCAAAUUUUAGUGACCUCUCUGGUACUUUUAUUUUUAUUCUAAUAAAAACUGGUGUUUUUGUUUAA